rnacentral:rRNA from 1 species
UACGGGGGGAGCAAGCGUUGUUCGGAUUUACUGGGCGUAAAGGGCGCGUAGGCGGCCACCGCAAGUCGACUGUGAAAUCUCCGGGCUUAACUCGGAAAGGUCAGCCGAUACUGCGGGGCUAGAGUGCAGAAGGGGCAACUGGAAUUCUCGGUGUAGCGGUGAAAUGCGUAGAUAUCGAGAGGACCACCUGCGGCGAAGGCGGGUUGCUGGGCUGACACUGACGCUGAUUGUGCGAAAGCUAGGGGAGCGAACGGG